rnacentral:rRNA from 1 species
GACGAACGCUGGCGGCGUGCUUAACACAUGCAAGUCGAACGGAAAGGCCCUGCUUUUGUGGGGUGCUCGAGUGGCGAACGGGUGAGUAACACGUGAGUAACCUGCCCUUGACUUUGGGAUAACUUCAGGAAACUGGGGCUAAUACCGGCUAGGAGCUCCUGCUGCAUGGUGGGGGUUGGAAAGUUUCGGCGGUUGGGGAUGGACUCGCGGCUUAUCAGCUUGUUGGUGGGGUAGUGGCUUACCAAGGCUUUGACGGGUAGACGGCCUGAGAGGGUGACCGGGCACGUUGGGACUGCGAUACGGCCCAGACCCCUACGGGCGGCAGCAGUGGGGAAUAUUGCACAAUGGGCGGAAGCCUGAUGCAGCAACGCCGCGUUCGGGAUAACGGCCUUCGGGUUGUAAACCGCUUUCGCCUGUGACGAAGCGUGAGUGACGGUAAUGGGUAAAGAAGCCCCGGCUAACUACGUG